AUAGCGUAUAUUAAAGUUGUUGCAGUUAAAAAGCUCGUAGUUGAACUUCAGAUUUGGUCGGGUGGUCUUGCCGAAAGGUAAGCACUGCUCUGGUCGGGUCUUUCCUUCUGGGGAACCUGUGUGCUCUUAAUUGAGUGCGCAGGGGAUCCAGGACUUUUACUUUGAAAAAAUUAGAGUGUUUAAAGCAGGCUUACGCUUGAAUACAUUAGCAUGGAAUAAUAGAAUAGGACUUUGGUUCUAUUUUGUUGGUUUCUAGGACCGAAGUAAUGAUUAAUAGGGAUAGUUGGGGGCAUUAGUAUUUAAUUGUCAGAGGUGAAAUUCUUGGAUUUAUGAAAGACUAACUUCUG
rnacentral:rRNA from 1 species